CUUUAAUAAUCCUCCCUAGGUAAGAAACACAUCCCUUUAAUAAUCCUCCCUAGGUAAGAAACACAUCCCUUUAAUAACCCUCCCAAGGUAAGAAACACAUCCCUUUAAUAACCCUCCCAAGGUAA